rnacentral:lncRNA from 1 species
AUGGUGCCUAUCAUCUGGAUUCGUCUCAGUGGUUUAUCUUAUUAGCAUUUUUUAAGAUGUCAUCAAUAUUUUUUAGGAUGUCUCGAGAACAUUGGUUGCGAUGAUAUGAUCUCAUAAUAGUCAUAUUUUUUUAGCUCAUUUAGAAAUAAACAAAUGUAUGGAUAGAUGAAAAUCUAAUUCGUAUUUAUUACUAAAAAAUUCGGAACAUUGGCUCAUUAUCGAGAC